rnacentral:lncRNA from 1 species
GUUUUUUAUUCUACAUUGGCUAGAAUUAUGGGAAGGGUUUAGAUCUCAAAAAACAUGUUUAAACCUGCUGCAUGUUUGUUCCUGUCGACAGUCUGGAAACUCUGGCUGUUGUUAGUCUUGUAUUUAUUUUUUUAUUAUUUUGGUUCAUUUGUAUGUUUCGAAGUUUGGUGUGACGACCACAUUCGCUGAACUAGAAUGUAUUUCUUUGUUAAGGGACAGUGUUGAAGAAAUACGAAUUGGUGGCAGUCGGCUAUUUCAAGCUCUUUGGUGGGUUUGUUGUCUUUUUGACUCAGCCCCGUUUUCAUUCUGAAUCUUACAUAUUUAAUAUCAGUGAUCUAUCCCAAGUACGUAGUUCCUAUUAAACUAACUUAAACAGAUAACUCAUCAACUAAAAAUGCUAAUUAAUUCAAAGUCACAGCAUCGUUCUUAUCAAUGUGUAUUCUUAUGAUAC